GACGAACGCUGGCGGCGUGCCUAAUACAUGCAAGUCGAAAGCCGUGGGGACGGGUGAGUAACACGUGGGUAACCUCCCAUCAGAGGGGAUAACACUUGGAAACAGGUGCUAAACCGAUACUGAUGGAUGAAACCGCGGUGCAUUAGCUAGUUGUUGUGUUAACGGCUCACCAAGGCCACGAUGCAUAGCCGACCUGAGAGUGUGAUCGGCCAAACUGGGACUGAGACACGGCCCAGACUCCUACGGGAGGCAGCAGUAGGGAAUCUGCGGCAAUGGACGAAAGUCUGACCGAGCAACGCCGCGUGAGGGAAGAAGGUUUUCGGAGCGUAAAACUCUGUUGUUAGAGAAGCGGUAUCUAACCAGAAAGCCACGGCUAACUACGUGCCAGCAGCCGCGGUAAUUC
rnacentral:rRNA from 1 species